rnacentral:rRNA from 1 species
UACGAACCGUGCAAACGUUGUUCGGAAUCACUGGGCUUAAAGGGCGCGUAGGCGGGCGGGCAAGUCCGGGGUGAAAUCUUUCGGCCCAACCGGAAAAGGGCCUUGGAUACUGCUCGUCUGGAGGGGGGUAGGGGCAGACGGAACUUCCGGUGGAGCGGUGAAAUGCGUUGAUAUCGGAAGGAACGCCGGUGGCGAAAGCGGUCUGCUGGACCCCUACUGACGCUGAGGCGCGAAAGCCAGGGGAG